rnacentral:rRNA from 1 species
CGUAGGCGGAUAAUCAAAAAUAUAGUAAAAGACUAAGGAUAAACCUUUUUUCAGCUAUAUUCACUAAUUAUUUGAGUUUUAGGGACGAUCAAAUGAAUACUUGAAGUAGGGGUAAAAUUGUUGAUAUUAGGAGGCGUUCGAAGGCGAAAGCAUGGAUCGACUUAAAUCUGACGUUAGGUACUAAAGCAUGGGUAUGAAAAGGAUUAGAGACCUUGUAGUCCAUGCUAUAAACCAUGAGUGUUCAACACGUUUUGUGAUAUGGUUAUCCCAGGAUAACCAUAAGAC